rnacentral:rRNA from 1 species
CCUGGCUCAGGAUGAACGCUAGCGGCAGGCUUAACACAUGCAAGUCGAGGGGCAUCGGGAGUAGCAAUACUGCCGGCGACCGGCGCAAGGGUGCGUAACGCGUGAGCAACAUGCCCGUAUCAGGGGGAUAAUCCAUGGAAACGUGGUCUAAUACCCCAUAGUAAUUAUGUAAGGCAUCUUAUAUAAUUUAAAGCUUUGGUGGAUACGGAUUGGCUCGCGUGACAUUAGCUAGAUGGUAAGGUAACGGCUUACCAUGGCUACGAUGUCUAGGGGUUCUGAGAGGAAGGUCCCCCCACACUGGAACUGAGACACGGUCCAGACUCCUACGGGAGGCAGCAGUGAGGAAUAUUGGACAAUGGAUGGAAAUCUGAUCCAGCCAUGCCGCGUGCAGGAAAGACGGCCCUAUGGGUUGUAAACUGCUUUUGUAUGGGAGCAAUAAGGGCUACGCGUAGUCCGAUGAGAGUACCAUACGAAUAAGCACCGGCUAACUCCGUGCCAGCCGCUGC